rnacentral:rRNA from 1 species
AUGAACGCUGGCGGCGUGCCUAAUACAUGCAAGUCGAGCGCACAGACGAGGAGCUUGCUCCUCUGACGUUAGCGGCGGACGGGUGAGUAACACGUGGAUAACCUACCUAUAAGACUGGGAUAACUUCGGGAAACCGGAGCUAAUACCGGAUAAUAUAUUUAACCGCAUGGUUCAAUAGUGAAAGACGGUUUUGCUGUCACUUAUAGAUGGAUCCGCGCCGCAUUAGCUAGUUGGUAAGGUAACGGCUUACCAAGGCAACGAUGCGUAGCCGACCUGAGAGGGUGAUCGGCCACACUGGAACUGAGACACGGUCCAGACUCCUACGGGAGGCAGCAGUAGGGAAUCUUCCGCAAUGGGCGAAAGCUUGACGGAGCAACGCCGCGUGAGUGAUGAAGGUCUUCGGAUCGUAAAACUCUGUUAUUAGGGAAGAACAAAUGUGUAAGUAACUAUGCACGUCUUGACGGUACCUAAUCAGAAAGCCACGGCUAACUACGUG